rnacentral:rRNA from 1 species
UACGUAGGGGGCAAGCGUUGUCCGGAAUUAUUGGGCGUAAAGAGCGUGUAGGCGGCCAGAUAAGUCCGCUGUGAAAUCUCGAGGCUCAACUUCGAGCUGUCGGUGGAAACUAUCUGGCUAGAGUCCGGAAGAGGAGAAUGGAAUUCCUGGUGUAGCGGUGAAAUGCGCAGAUAUCAGGAAGAACACCAAUUGCGAAGGCAGCUCGCUGGGACGUCACUGACGCUGAGACGCGAAAGCGUGGGGAGCAAACAGG